AUAUGCAGAUUUUAUAUAUAAAAGAUAAUAGUCUUGUUGCAUUUUAUAUACUUAGUAUUUGCCUGAAAGAAUAUUAUGUGUUUCUUUCUUUUUCUCUAUUAGGCACAUUGAGAAAACAUCUAAUUUAAAGAGCAAGGUCAAAAAAUGGAAGACCUUGAUGAAUCAGAGCCAACUUUAAUAGCCUCAAUGGCCUUUCAAAUGACUUGCCCUAAUUAUAAGGAUAUUUGGGCAUACAUUGAAAAACCAAGCACUUCACAUGAAGAUCCUCAUAGCCUACCAAAAAUCCAAAAAGCAUUUGAUUCAUGUCAAAGAAUAAUAGAACUUGACAAAAGUCACUGUUCACAGUGUUUAUUACAUAUACAAGAAGUGGAAAAAGGAGAAAAUAAACUUUGUGGAAUGAAAGAGAAAUUAUCAGAAAUGGAAAAUAUGAAAUCUAAGUUAGAGCAGAGAGAAAUAAAAUGGAAACAAGAACUCUGCCACUUGAGGCAUGAUUUAAAAGAAAAAGAGAAGAAGUUAAGAGAUUUUGAUCAGCUUUUGGAAAAAAUGAAUAACCAGUUAAGAGAAAAAGAUGAGAAACAUAAUAAACAAAUUGAAUUGAACAAAGAAUUUCAACUGUCUUAUGGGACAUUGAAGGCAGAAUUAAAGACUGCAAGAAGUAACUCAAAUCAGGCCAAUAAUCUCAAUACAAACCUAGAAGCUACAUUUUCAAAAUAUUUACGGUUGGAUGGACAAUUUGAACUUGCUUUUAAAAGCCUACAAAAUACAUGUGAAAAAACACAGAACAACCAAAAGUAGUUGGAAGAAGAUUUCGCAAACCUCAAAGUAUAUGUGCAAGACAAUAAAAUUAAAAAUGGUCAAGAAGAGCCUCAUAGAUGUGAGAUUAGACAAAGAACAAGAGAGAUUUUAGAGGAAAACCAAAAACGAGCAUCUCUAUUUUCAGAGACAUUUAAUAGAGCUUCAAAAAUUUUAGAGGAGUUGAAUGAAAAUAAUGAGUUUUCAUUAAUGAAGUUGAUGCAAUUCAGAAUUGAAAAGCUAGAAUCUCAAGUGUCUGAAAUCAAAAAUGAAAUUUCUGAUAAAACACCAAGAAUCAGUAAGAGCCUUCAGGAGGUUAGUAGCAGAUUCCCAGUGAAAACAGAGAGGUUGUUUACCCUGCUCUCACUGUGGGAGGCCAGUCCCAGGGUGUCCUUGUGUCAGACUUAAAAGGGACAACUGGGUACACAACAGAAGUUUUAACCAGGGAGAAAACAUAGCAGGUGCUAUUUCCAACCCACAGCCUUCAUGUCAAAUCCUUGAGGAUAAUCUGGCUGAGGUGAGUUAUGCUUUGUUUAUCUUUUGGGUUUCAGAUUUCUGAUUUGCCUUGUUUUGACUUUGUUGAAAUACUGAGUUGUUUAGUUGACUUAUGAACAUUAAGUGAAGGUCAUGAUAAUCUAUAGCUAUACAGAUUAAAAAAAGAAUUUUCAAUUUUUAUAAAGUAUCUGGGAGUCUUUUUAAAAAUGAUACUUGUUAACUUUAUUCAACCAAAAUGAUAUUUUUACCUUUCCUUUAACUUAAAGUAGAUUUUUUCAUUGAAUUAAAUGUUUGAAAGAAAUAAACAUUGGUUUAAAGCUUUGAUGGAGUUUUCAUGAUCUUCUUAACUCACAGAAAAAUAGUACAGACCUAUGUUAAAUCAGGCCUCAAUCUGAUGUUUCCUUUUGCCUUUGGAUUCUAGUGAAAUCAAGAGAAGAGCAAAUAUAAGAUUCAUAAAAAUCCAUGAAGUCAAAGGUGCUAAAAAAGGGAACAAAUUAAAUAACUUUUAGUGUGUAAUUAUAAGAUCCUAGCUAGGUGAUAUUUUUUUUUCCAUUAGUUUGUUAGCUUACAUGAUAUAUUUCUGAAAAAAAAAAAGAUAGAUCUAGGAUUGAAGAGUCUCUCAUCCAUGAAAUUGGAACACUGCACACCAAAAAAAAAAAAAAGAAAGAAA